GACGGAAGGUGCAAGCGUUGCUCGGAAUCACUGGGCGUAAAGGGUGCGUAGGCGGCCGUGCAAGUCUGGCGUGAAAGCCCCGGGCUCAGCCCGGGAAGUGCGCUCGAAACUGCGCGGCUCGAGUGCCGGAGGGGAGAGUGGAAUUCCUGGUGUAGCGGUGAAAUGCGUAGAUAUCAGGAGGAAUACCGGUGGCGAAAGCGGCGCGCUGGACCACUACUGACGCUGAGGAACGAAAGCUAGGGGAGCAAACAGG
rnacentral:rRNA from 1 species